GACAACGUGGCCAAGUGGUUAAGGCAACAGACUCGAAAUCUGAUACUCUUUGGGUGCGCAGGCUCGAGUCCUCCUGUUGUUG